rnacentral:tRNA from 1 species
ACUCGUAGGUGGCGCGGCCGUGAUCGCCGUUGGUGCCGGCGAUCGAGCGAAUGAUCGAGCAGUGGUGCAUCUGCUUCGCGAGUU